rnacentral:hammerhead_ribozyme from 1 species
CUGACGAGUCCCGAAUAGGACGAAACGCACGUC